GCUGGACAACUGAAAAACCACUGGACAACUGAAAAACCACUGGGCAACUGAAAAACCACUGAGCAACUGAAAAACCACUGAGGUCCUUCCACAGGCUCACGCACACAGGCGCAAGCAACAGGACUCGUUUAUCGGCAGCCCCUCGGUUGGGCGCCACGCCAAACUGGCCCAUCAAUUUUGGUUCUCCUACCCGCCACCGGGCGCUGGCGGCGGUUCCUCAAGAAUCACAAAACUAAGGAAUCAAGUCUAACCAAUACGAAAUACAAACGAAAGAAUACAAAAACUAAGAAAUUACUGAAUCAAAUCGAAAACUUUUACCAAAAACCGAGUUCUUUCCCACUCAGUCUCUCCUCUCUUUCUAUCUGCCUAUAUGUCUAUCUCUUGCUUAAAAGACACACUCAGACACACCGCACUCACCUAACUAACUAACUAACGGUACUAAUUCCAUUCCAAUCGUUCCGGUACGCGUCGCGAUCGCGAUCGCGUAUAUAAUCAAUUGCCAAAUUCGACAAGAAUCGUUACUAAAAUCGAAUCAAAAUCAAAUUCGACACAACAAGAACAACAUCAUCACCACAAAGUACAACAUCAGAAAAAAAACAUCAAAUAACACAUUGAGACAGCAAGAACUCGCAGACCGACGAAGAGAAGCAGCGCGAUCGACAGCGAAACGAGCGCGAGGCGAAAAAGGAAGAGCAGGACGCUAUCAACUACAAGCGCGACAAGGAGCAACGCGAGGCCCGUCUGCU